GCCGCCAGUGCAGAGGGCAGAAAGACGUUCCCAGAAAGCUUACAAGAUUACUGGGUUGGGCGACUCAAGGUGAACAGUGUGCUCGCAUGACAUAAAGGAGGACAGUCUGCAAGACGGUGUGAUUGCCAUCAGCGAGUGGAGGGGACCUUUCCCAAUCGUGGCUUCCCAGCAUCUUCUCCAUCAAUUCCCACAAGCAUGAGUGUGGCAGCAUGAAGAGGGCUCGAAGAUUUCUGGAUUUCUACCUUCUGGCUAUAUUUGUGCUUCAGCCCCGGACAGCAGUGACCCUUCACAGCCUCUCACGGCUCAGAGAGGAGGAGUGGGCUGCACUGGGGAAGGAGGAGGCCAGAGGAUGUGGAUGCGGAGGAAGAAACGAGAACCCUCCCAGGCCGUCCCCGGAUGCUGCAGGACACCGAGGACGGUCACAGUACCUGCCACAGAGGGAUGUGGGUGUUUGGGGCCAAUGACUUCAAAAGUGCUGGGCAUACAGGGGGUUCUGGUGACCCUCUUCAACUAUCCCGGGGACCCUGGUCACGUGGACUCUGCUGUGCUGCGGGCCCAGUCCUGGGAGGCCAUGAGCUGUGCCUUUCUGGGCACACCUGGGGUCCCCUCUGUACCCGCACCCCUUACUGUUCCUGCUGUACCUCCUCCCCCGGGGUGUGCAGCAGCUCUGCCUGGUUGCUCCUCCAGAUCAAUCUCCUUUUUCUUCUCCCACUUAACAAACAGCUUCACUUAGGAAGCCAUCUGGGAGGAUGGAUGGCACUGGGCACAUUCUGCAGAAUAAGUUUUCAGAGAAAAUAGCAGGAAAUAAAGGCACAGCACUUACGAUUCCAAUCUCAUUAGGCCCCGUAACUCUGGCCUGUGGAGGACUGAAUUUCUGUGUUGCGAGUUCCCUGUUUCCCCACCGCCCCCUGCCACCCUGUCUUCCCAGCAUCCUGGACUCCAUUACCACGUGUCACAGUGUCUCUAGCCAAUUUCCCCCUCCCUCACCAGGAGGGCCUGCGGCUGGGGUUUCCUGACCCCUUGCGC
rnacentral:lncRNA from 1 species